GAGUUUGAUCCUGGCUCAGAUUGAACGCUGGCGGCAUGCCUUACACAUGCAAGUCGAACGGCAGCACGGGUGCUUGCACCUGGUGGCGAGUGGCGAACGGGUGAGUAAUACAUCGGAACAUGUCCUGUAGUGGGGGAUAGCCCGGCGAAAGCCGGAUUAAUACCGCAUACGAUCUACGGAUGAAAGCGGGGGACCUUCGGGCCUCGCGCUAUAGGGUUGGCCGAUGGCUGAUUAGCUAGUUGGUGGGGUAAAGGCCUACCAAGGCGACGAUCAGUAGCUGGUCUGAGAGGACGACCAGCCACACUGGGACUGAGACACGGCCCAGACUCCUACGGGAGGCAGCAGUGGGGAAUUUUGGACAAUGGGCGAAAGCCUGAUCCAGCAAUGCCGCGUGUGUGAAGAAGGCCUUCGGGUUGUAAAGCACUUUUGUCCGGAAAGAAAUCCUUGGCUCUAAUACAGUCGGGGGAUGACGGUACCGGAAGAAUAAGCACCGGCUAACUACGUGCCAGCAGCCGCGGUAAUACGUAGGGUGCGAGCGUUAAUCGGAAUUACUGGGCGUAAAGCGUGCGCAGGCGGUUUGCUAAGACCGAUGUGAAAUCCCCGGGCUCAACCUGGGAACUGCAUUGGUGACUGGCANGCUAGAGUAUGGCAGAGGGGGGUAGAAUUCCACGUGUAGCAGUGAAAUGCGUAGAGAUGUGGAGGAAUACCGAUGGCGAAGGGCAGCCCCCUGGGCCAAUACUGACGCUCAUGCACGAAAGCGUUGGGAGCAAACAGGAUUAGAUACCCUGGUAGUCCACGCCCUAAACGAUGUCAACUAGUUGUUGGGAUUCAUUUCCUUAGUAACGUAGCUAACGCGUGAAGUUGACCGCCUGGGGAGUACGGUCGCAAGAUUAAAACUCAAAGGAAUGACGGGGGACCCGCACAAGCGGUGGAUGAUGUGGAUUAAUUCGAUGCAACGCGAAAAACCUUACCUACCCUUGACAUGGUCGGAUCCUGCUGAGAGGCGGGGGUGCUCGAAAGAGAACCGGCGCACAGGUGCUGCAUGGCUGUCGUCAGCUCGUGUCGUGAGAUGUUGGGUUAAGUCCCGCAACGAGCGCAACCCUUGUCCUUAGUUGCUACGCAAGAGCACUCUAAGGAGACUGCCGGUGACAAACCGGAGGAAGGUGGGGAUGACGUCAAGUCCUCAUGGCCCUUAUGGGUAGGGCUUCACACGUCAUACAAUGGUCGGAACAGAGGGUUGCCAACCCGCGAGGGGGAGCUAAUCCCAGAAAACCGAUCGUAGUCCGGAUUGCACUCUGCAACUCGAGUGCAUGAAGCUGGAAUCGCUAGUAAUCGCGGAUCAGCAUGCCGCGGUGAAUACGUUCCCGGGUCUUGUACACACCGCCCGUCACACCAUGGGAGUGGGUUUUACCAGAAGUGGCUAGUCUAACCGCAAGGAGGACGGUCACCACGGUAGGAUUCAUGACUGGGGUGAAGUCGUAACAAGGUA
rnacentral:rRNA from 1 species